AACGUAGGAGACAAACGUUAUCCGGAGUUACUGGGCGUAAAGGGCGUGUAGGUGGUUUCGUAAGUCUGGCGUGAAAUUUUUCGGCUUAACCGGGAAAGGUCGUCGGAUACUGCGGAACUAGAGGACGGUAGAGGCGUGUGGAAUUCCGGGUGUAGUGGUGAAAUGCGUAGAGAUCCGGAGGAACACCAGUGGCGAAGGCGACACGCUGGCCGUACCUGACACUGAUGCGCGACAGCAUGGGGAGCAAACAGG
rnacentral:rRNA from 1 species